rnacentral:rRNA from 1 species
CGGGUGAGUAACACGUGAGCAAUCUGCCCUUGACUCUGGGAUAAGCGCUGGAAACGGCGUCUAAUACCGGAUACGAGCUGUGAAGGCAUCUUCAACAGUUGGAAAGAAUUUCGGUCAAGGAUGAGCUCGCGGCCUAUCAGCUUGUUGGUGAGGUAAUGGCUCACCAAGGCGUCGACGGGUAGCCGGCCUGAGAGGGUGACCGGCCACACUGGGACUGAGACACGGCCCAGACUCCUACGGGAGGCAGCAGUGGGGAAUAUUGCACAAUGGGCGCAAGCCUGAUGCAGCAACGCCGCGUGAGGGACGACGGCCUUCGGGUUGUAAACCUCUUUUAGCAAGGAAGAAGCGAAAGUGACGGUACUUGCAGAAAAAGCGCCGGCUAACUACGUGCCAGCAGCCGCGGUAAUACGUAGGGCGCAAGCGUUAUCCGGAAUUAUUGGGCGUAAAGAGCUCGUAGGCGGUUUGUCGCGUCUGCUGUGAAAUCCCGAGGCUCAACCUCGGGCCUGCAGUGGGUACGGGCAGACUAGAGUGCGGUAGGGGAGAUUGGAAUUCCUGGUGUAGCGGUGGAAUGCGCAGAUAUCAGGAGGAACACCGAUGGCGAAGGCAGAUCUCUGGGCCGUAACUGACGCUGAGGAGCGAAAGGGUGGGGAGCAAACAGGCUUAGAUACCCUGGUAGUCCACCCCGUAAACG